rnacentral:rRNA from 1 species
UACGGAGGGUGCAAACGUUGCUCGGAAUCAUUGGGCGUAAAGCGCACGUAGGCGGAUUGUUAAGUCAGGGGUGAAAUCCUGGAGCUCAACUCCAGAACUGCCUUUGAUACUGGCGAUCUCGAGUCCGGGAGAGGUGAGUGGAACUGCGGGUGUAGAGGUGAAAUUCGUAGAUAUUCGCAAGAACACCAGUGGCGAAGGCGGUUCUCUGGGACGGUACUGGACGCUGAGACGCGAAAGCGUGGGGAGCGAACAGG